rnacentral:rRNA from 1 species
UAGGGAAUCUUCCGCAAUGGACGAAAGUCUGACGGAGCAACGCCGCGUGAGUGAAGAAGGAUUUCGGUUCGUAAAACUCUGUUGUUAGGGAAGAAAAAAUGUAUAGUAACUAUAUACAAAAGAGACGGUACCUAACCAGAAAGCCACGGCUAACUACGUGCCAGCAGCCGCGGUAAUACGUAGGUGGCAAGCGUUGUCCGGAAUUAUUGGGCGUAAAGCGCGCGCAGGUGGUUUAGAAAGUCUGAUGUGAAAGCCCACGGCUCAACCGUGGAGGGUCAUUGGAAACUCAUAAACUUGAGUGCAGGAGAGAAAAGUGGAAUUCCUAGUGUAGCGGUGAAAUGCGUAGAGAUUAGGAGGAACACCGGUGGCGAAAGCGGCUUUUUGGCCUGCAACUGACACUGAGGCGCGAAAGCGUGGGGAGCAAACAGG